AACGCACCUUGCGCUCCUUGGUACUCCGAGGAGCAUGUCUGUUUGAGCGUCACGUUAAUACAUCACCCCUCUUGGACAUCAGUGUCGCAGAGGGUGUGGACUUGGACCGUGCUGACGUUGGCUCGUCCUGAAAUGCAUUGGCUCCUCUCGAGGCCUGCCUCCAUGGUGUGAUAGUUAUCUACGCCAAUGGCAUGAUCUCUUCUUGGGGCCUUACCGUCCUCGGACAACUCCCUGACAUUUGACCUCAAAUCAGACAGGACUACCCGCUGAACUUAA
rnacentral:misc_RNA from 1 species